rnacentral:misc_RNA from 1 species
GCUGUAGCCUGUAGGGGCGUGCCCCUUGGAAAAGUGGAACUGUACUUCUCUAUUGCAAGUUUGUUCUAUGCAAAUCUUCCAUUCUUCCUGGAUUUUGCACAUGUGAGGGUAUACUUCUUGGCGUCAUUUUUGUCGAGAAGAAUAUUAUCAUGACAUGCAGUGAUCCUGGUUUGUGUGGACCUUAUUUGCUUGAUUUGCUCGGC